GUCCACGCCCUAAACGAUGUCUACUAGUUGUUGGGUCUUAAUUGACUUAGUAACGCAGCUAACGCGUGAAGUAGACCGCCUGGGGAGUACGGUCGCAAGAUUAAAACUCAAAGGAAUUGACGGGGACCCGCACAAGCGGUGGAUGAUGUGGAUUAAUUCGAUGCAACGCGAAAAACCUUACCUACCCUUGACAUGGUUGGAAUCCCGAAGAGAUUUGGGAGUGCCCGCAAGGGAACCAAUACACAGGUGCUGCAUGGCUGUCGU
rnacentral:rRNA from 1 species